rnacentral:rRNA from 1 species
AGCGAACGCUGGCGGCAGGCUUAACACAUGCAAGUCGAGCGGGCACUUUCGGGUGUCAGCGGCGGACGGGUGAGUAACGCGUGGGAACGUGCCCUCUGGUUCGGAAUAACUCAGGGAAACUUGAGCUAAUACCGGAUACGCCCUUUUGGGGAAAGGCUUGCUGCCGGAGGAUCGGCCCGCGUCUGAUUAGCUAGUUGGUGAGGUAACGGCUCACCAAGGCGACGAUCAGUAGCUGGUCUGAGAGGAUGAUCAGCCACACUGGGACUGAGACACGGCCCAGACUCCUACGGGAGGCAGCAGUGGGGAAUAUUGGACAAUGGGCGCAAGCCUGAUCCAGCCAUGCCGCGUGAGUGGUGAAGGCCUUAGGGUUGUAAAGCUCUUUUAUCCGGGACGAUAAUGACGGUACCGGAGGAAUAAGCCCCGGCUAACUUCGUG